CUGCUGUUGACUGGUGGUGAGGUGUGGUGCAGGUCUCCCUCUCUGCUGUUGACUGGUGGUGAGGUGUGGUGCAGGUGUCCCUCUCUGCUGUUGGCUGGUGGUGAGGUGCAGGUCUCCCUCUCUGCUGUUGGCUGGUGGUGAGGUGCAGGUCUCCCUCUCUGCUGUUGGCUGGUGGUGAGGUGCAGGUCUCCCUCUCUGCUGUUGGCUGGUGGUGAGGUGCAGGUCUCCCUCUCUGCUGUUGGCUGGUGGUGAGGUGCAGGUCUCCCUCUCUGCUGUUGGCUGGUGGUGAGGUGCAGGUCUCCCUCUCUGCUGUUGGCUGGUGGUGAGGUGCAGGUCUCCCUCUCUGCUGUUGGCUGGUGGUGAGGUGCAGGUCUCCCUCU